rnacentral:misc_RNA from 1 species
GAUGAAGAACGUAGCGAAAUGCGAUACGUAAUGUGAAUUGCAAAUUCAGUGAAUCAUCGAGUCUUUGAACGCACAUCGCGCCCCCUGGUAUUCCGGGGGGCAUGCCUGUCCGAGCGUCAUUGCUGCCCUCAAGCACGGCUUGUGUGUUGGGCCCCGUCCUCCGAUCCCGGGGGACGGGCCCGAAAGGCAGCGGCGGCACCGCGUCCGGUCCUCGAGCGUAUGGGGCUUUGUCACCCGCUCUGUAGGCCCGGCCGGCGCUUGCCGAUCAACCCAAAUUUUUAUCCAGGUUGACCUCGGAUCAGGUAGGGAUACCCGCUGAACUUAAGCAUAUCAAUAAGCGGAGGA